rnacentral:lncRNA from 1 species
GGUCUCCAUUGCCAUCACCGAUAUUUCUGCAUCUGAGGUAAUGGAAUAAUUCUUUUAGAGUUGAUUGAGAUUUUUGGUUGAUUCGAAAUUCCUGGUGAUUUGAUAAUGUGUUUGUGUGUUACUGGUUAACGCAACUGAAGAUGAUGUUUGAUUCAUGGUAGAUAUCUUGCAUAAUUUAACAAAUUAUAAUUUAAUUUAACAAUUUGUGAAUUUGCCAUUUGGAAAACUCGAAUUUGCCAAUUCGGCUAAAGAAGAUGUGUUAUUAGUUGACAAUUUGCCAUUUGGGAAACUCGAGCUGCACCGAGUGUUGAGUGUUUUUUUUUUUAUUACAUGAGACUAUUGCUCAUAUUACAACUCAUACUACAUGAGACUAUAACUGAUAUUUACAAAUCAGACAAUUACUGGGACCAACUUACAUCAAUGCUAAUGGAGCUCUGUCCAGAUUUUAACCCUCACAAAUAUUCGAGGGAUGUCUACUCCUCACUAAUGGGUAAGGGAAAAGACUACAUUUACUUAAAUUAAUUGAGAAAGAAAAUACCUCCACAAUAUUUUUGUGGGAGUUCGAACUGCUGCCCUCCAACUUGGAGGGCAGCAGCCCUGGCCACUCGGGCUGAG